AAUAUUGCACAAUGGACGAAAGUCUGAUGCAGCGACGCCGCGUGAGGGAGGAAGGCCUUCGGGUUGUAAACCUCUUUCAGUAGGGAAGUAGCUUUUCGGAGUGACGGCACCUGCAGAAGAAGCGGCGGCUCACUACGUGCCAGCAGCCGCGGUAAUACGUAGGGCCCAAGCGUUGUUCGGAAUUAUUGGGCGUAAAGGGCUCGUAGGCGGUUUGUCGCGUCUGCUGUGAAAACUUGGGGCUUAACCCUAAGCUUGCAGUGGGUACGGGCAGGCUAGAGUGCGGUAGGGGAGAUUGGAAUUCCUGGUGUAGCGGUGAAAUGCGCAGAUAUCAGGAGGAACACCGAUGGCGAAGGCAGAUCUCUGGGCCAUGACUGACGCUGAGGAGCGAAAGCGUGGGGAGCGAACAG
rnacentral:rRNA from 1 species